UACGAAGGGGGCUAGCGUUGCUCGGAAUCACUGGGCGUAAAGCGCACGUAGGCGGAUCUUUAAGUCAGGGGUGAAAUCCUGGAGCUCAACUCCAGAACUGCCUUCGAUACUGGGAGUCUUGAGUUCGGGAGAGGUGAGUGGAACUGCGAGUGUAGAGGUGAAAUUCGUAGAUAUUCGCAAGAACACCAGUGGCGAAGGCGGCUCACUGGCCCGAUACUGACGCUGAGGUGCGAAAGCGUGGGGAGCAAACAGG
rnacentral:rRNA from 1 species